rnacentral:rRNA from 1 species
AUUGAACGCUGGCGGAAGGCCUAACACAUGCAAGUCGAGCGGAGCGGCGGACGGGUGAGUAAUGCCUAGGCAUCUGCCUGGUAGUGGGGGAUAACGUCCGGAAACGGGCGCUAAUACCGCAUAUAUUAAGAUGAGACUAGGUGGGAUUAGCUGGUUGGUGGGGUAAAGGCCUACCAAGGCGACGAUCCCUAACUGGUCUGAGAGGAUGAUCAGUCACACGGGAACUGAGACACGGUCCAGACUCCUACGGGAGGCAGCAGUGGGGAAUAUUGGACAAUGGGCGAAAGCCUGAUCCAGCCAUGCCGCGUGUGUGAAGAAGGUCUUCGGAUUGUAAAGCACUUUAAGUUGGGAGGCGUUACCAACAGAAUAAGCACCGGCUAACUUCGUGCCAGCAGCCGCGGUAAUUC